rnacentral:rRNA from 1 species
UACGGAGGGUGCAAGCGUUAUCCGGAUUCACUGGGUUUAAAGGGUGCGUAGGCGGAUAGGUAAGUCCGUGGUGAAAUCCUGCAGCUUAACUGCAGAACUGCCAUGGAUACUAUCUAUCUUGAAUGUCGUGGAGGUUAGCGGAAUAUGUCAUGUAGCGGUGAAAUGCUUAGAUAUGACAUAGACACCGAUAGCGAAGGCAGCUUACUACAUGAAGAUUGACGCUGAGGCACGAGAGCGUGGGGAGCGAACCGG